GUGGGGAAUAUUGCACAAUGGGCGCAAGCCUGAUGCAGCCAUGCCGCGUGUAUGAAGAAGGCCUUCGGGUUGUAAAGUACUUUCAGCGGGGAGGAAGGCGAUAAGGUUAAUAACCUUGUCGAUUGACGUUACCCGCAGAAGAAGCACCGGCUAACUCCGUGCCAGCAGCCGCGGUAAUACGGAGGGUGCAAGCGUUAAUCGGAAUUACUGGGCGUAAAGCGCACGCAGGCGGUCUGUCAAGUCGGAUGUGAAAUCCCCGGGCUCAACCUGGGAACUGCAUUCGAAACUGGCAGGCUAGAGUCUUGUAGAGGGGGGUAGAAUUCCAGGUGUAGCGGUGAAAUGCGUAGAGAUCUGGAGGAAUACCGGUGGCGAAGGCGGCCCCCUGGACAAAGACUGACGCUCAGGUGCGAAAGCGUGGGGAGCAAACAGGAUUAGAUACCCGAGUAGUCC
rnacentral:rRNA from 1 species